UACGAACUGUGCAAACGUUAUUCGGAAUCACUGGGCUUAAAGGGUGCGUAGGCGGCUGUCUAAGUAGGGUGUGAAAGCCCCCGGCUCAACCGGGGAAUUGCGCCCUAAACUGGAUGGCUGGAGUGAGGCAGGGGUAAGCGGAACUGAUGGUGGAGCGGUGAAAUGCGUUGAUAUCAUCAGGAACACCGGUGGCGAAAGCGGCUUACUGGGUCUCUUCUGACGCUGAGGUACGAAAGCUAGGGUAGCGAACGGG
rnacentral:rRNA from 1 species